UCUCCGUAGGUGAACCUGCGGAGGGAUCAUUACAGAGUUCAUGCCCUACCGGGUAGAUCUCCCACCCUAUGUUAUUAUUACUUUGUUGCUUUGGCGGGCCGUUAAGCUCCGGCCCGACUACCGGCCCCGGCUGGUAAGCGCCCGCCAGAGGACCCAAAACCCUGAAUAUUAGUGUCGUCUGAGUAUUAUAUAAUAGUUAAAACUUUCAACAACGGAUCUCUUGGUUCUG
rnacentral:misc_RNA from 1 species